rnacentral:rRNA from 1 species
CCUACGGGGGGCAGCAGUGAGGAAUAUUGGUCAAUGGGCGCGAGCCUGAACCAGCCAAGUCGCGUGAGGGAAGACGGUCCUAUGGAUUGUAAACCUCUUUUGUCGGGGAGCAAAAGACGUCACGCGCGGCGUUCCGAGAGUACCCGAAGAAAAAGCAUCGGCUAACUCCGUGCCAGCAGCCGCGGUAAUACGGAGGAUGCGAGCGUUAUCCGGAUUUAUUGGGUUUAAAGGGUGCGCAGGCGGAAGAUCGAGUCAGCGGUAAAAUUGAGAGGCUCAACCUCUUCGAGCCGUUGAAACUGGUGUUCUUGAGUGAGCGAGAAGUAUGCGGAAUGCGUGGUGUAGCGGUGAAAUGCAUAGAUAUCACGCAGAACUCCGAUUGCGAAGGCAGCAUACCGGCGCUCAACUGACGCUCAUGCACGAAAGUGUGGGUAUCGAACAGGAUUAGAUACCCCAGUAGUC